rnacentral:rRNA from 1 species
UGUGGGUAGCGGUGAAAUUCCAAUCGAGCCCGGAGAUAGCUGGUUCUCCCCGAAAUAGCUUUAGGGCUAGCCUCAAGGUGAGAGAUACGGAGGUAGAGCACUGAAUGUCCUAGGGGGUAUUGCACCUACCGAAGACUAUCAAACUCCGAAUGCCGUCAUCUUAUACUUGGGAGUCAGACUGUGGGUGAUAAGAUUCAUAGUCGAAAGGGCAACAGCCCAGAUCGUCAGCUAAGGUCCCUAAAUGUAAGUUAAGUGGUAAAGGAUGUGGGAUUGCACAGACAACCAGGAUGUUGGCUUAGAAGCAGCCACUCAUUCAAAGAGUGCGUAAUAGCUCACUGGUCGAGUGAUCCUGCGCCGAAGAUUUCCGGGGCUAAAACUUACUACCGAAGCUACGGCAUCAGUAAUGAUGGGUAGGGGAGCUUCCCAUACGGGUUGAAGCAUGACCGUAAGGACAUG